CCGACAUCCUCUGCCUGCAUUAAUUUAAAGUUAAAUGCCCUCAAACCUUUCCGCCUCUCGGGUUGGGGCUGGGUGCACGCCAUCCGCACAAACUUUUGGGAGCCUCCUUCCUAGUGCGCCUGGGUCUGUUCCCUGCCCGUCCCUCCCCGCCACUCGUUCCCUCCAGCUCCCAGUGCCCGCUCAGCCGCCCCCAGCCGCUGGCUCGGCACCCACUGAAGUUUGGCAGGUGCCGAGGGGGUUAACAGGACAGCACGCACCACACCAGCCCACAGGCACGUGGUUUAGCGGGCCGGCCAGGAGCCGGUCCUGGCCACCGUGGCCCUGCUCCCCAAGCCCACCUCGCCUUGUGGAGUUGGAGUAAAGACCAGCUCUUCCUGAACCCUCCUCACCCACCUCCACUUUCUAAGGGCUCUGGGCACAGGCAGGCAAGGCAGCCACCGCCUCCAUGCCACCCAUCAUCCUCUUUUUCUGUUUUCUUCCAGGUUCUAUCCAAACAUCCUUUCGGGCAAAGGGGGUGGGGAGCCCCAGACAGAUGAGCUCAUUGGGAGGAGGAGGGCAGAGGGAGGAGGGAGCUGAACCGUCCUGACCAGGGAGGUGCUCACCGGGCAGUCCCAAGCUGGAGAGGGGCGUGUGUGUCCACUUCCAGGAGCAGGCAUCCGCUUCCCUGCAGCAGCUCAGAGAUGGGGGCCCGGAUUCAGGACUUUCUUGCUUCUUCUCCAACUUCAGCCCUGGGAGCAGUGGCUGCACAGGUGGAAUUAGAUGCACCAAAGAAACCCCAAAAACAAGACAAAACAAAAAACUAGUCUUGGUCCCCAUGGGGCUGACCUGCAGUUCCCAACUCGUCUAUGGCUUCGGGUGCCUCCCUGGGGCCCGGCACAGUGCCAGGCCCACGGGAGAUGCUCAAUGAACGGAUGCUGAAUUGGAAUGAAUUAAACGGAACCUCCCAUAUCGUUCUCGCCCCAAAUCGGCUAUCUGAUGGGGAGAGGCAGAGGAUGGUCCCCAACACUGUCCCAGUCCUGUCCUCGCCUCCUUUCCUCAGACUCAUUCCUGCCCUGGGCACUGACUUCCUGCGCCUCGGUGGCCUCUGAGCUCCUGGAAAGGCUGGGAAGUGCUGAAGAAGGUCAGCCUGGGGUCGGGGGGAGGGGGGCAGGAGUGGGGCCUUGCCAGCAGCUCUGCCCUCCCACUCCACCCCUCCAUCCGCCACCCCUCCACCCGGCCUCAAUCACAGCCUGCAGCUGCCGCCCUGGGACAGCAGCAGGCCUGGACAGCCCGUCUCCCUCACCUCACCUCCCUCGUGGACCAGCCCGCAGAGGCUCUUCCCACUCAGAAAACUAUGGCUCUGUUGGGUCAGACUGGAGACUGAGGAGCCAGAGGAGGAGACGGCGGGACCCUCGGUCUCUGCCAGUUUGAACCUCAGUUUCCCCAUUUGUUGUGAGUGGCUUGCCUGGUUGGUCUCUGAGGGUCUUCCAAGGUAGUGUCCACGUCGGCAGCUUCUCUCUGUCUCGCUCCCUCUCCUGAGGCUUAAAUAAUCAGUCCCUUCCUGAUGUGAGUAUAAUGGCAGUGAAAGUUGGCUCUCCAUAAACGCUACUUGCUUCCCCACAGAGGGAGUCCCUGGGGCUGCGAAGGGAGGGAGCGACCACAGGAUCUCAGAGGCUCCAGGAGCCCCCUCACACUUCCCUCAGGGCAUUUCCUUCCCUGUUUUCUACCAAAAGCCAGCCCAAACCCUGCUAACUGGGAAAGUUUGAAAUGGAAGGCCUGAAUGAAGCCCCCACUCUGCACAUUGGCUCCCCCAUCGUGGCUCCCACCCCUCCUUAGCCCCCCACCUUGGCCGCUCCCGGCCUGGGAGGAGUGAGGGUGGUCAGCCUGUGGGAGAAGGCUGCCUGCGGCCAACUCCACUUCACAAUGGAGCCCCUGCCCCUUCAGACCUUAGCCGGCUUCGAAAUUUGUCUCCUGUUAGUGGGUAACUAUGGUGGGAAAUGACCGCCACCUGGGACGCUACAACCCGCCCAUGGCCCAGCUCAGUGACUCUCCGUACAAUGCCCACCAAAACUCCCAAGGGAUUGGCAGCUGCCAGAAAACCCCCGAGGCUUCCCUGGUAGCAGCUCUGGAAGGAGAGGGGGUAAGAGCAGAGUUUCCUGGGCCGGGGCUCGUCUCCACCUGCCCCCAGCCCCUGCUUGCCUUCAGUGCCCAGGAAAGGCACGGUCCUCCCUUCAACGUGGCCUCCACCCAAGUGACAGGACCCAUCGGCACCCCAGCCUGACUGGGCCACCCGGCCUGGAGCAGCCGGGGAGCACGGCGAUGCCACCGCCCAGGCUUUCUCGAGGCAGCACAGGAAAGCCCCUCUGCCACCCGCCGAUCCUCCCUGAGGCCCCACCAAACCGGGCAGUCCACAAACCGGGCAGGCUGGACAGCUGACCUCCCCCUCCGCCACUGCCCACCCUCCCCGCCUCUCUUUCCAGGACCCUCACAGGCUUCCUGCCUCCCCUCCGGGACCGGCAGUCCGGAGCCCACUUCCCCCUCCCCCAGGGCCCACGUGUCCCACACCCCAUGGCAGGUUUCCCCCGAAUGAAAGAGAGGUCAUCCGUGCUCAGUUUCUGCUCUUUUUUCCUCCUCACGCACUUUACUACCAUCAGCACCAAGAUGACCACCGCCAGGAAGCCGCCCACGGAGGCGCCCACGAUCACCGCCACCGUGGAGUCCCGCUCAGGGGGCUCUGGAGGACAAGAAACGGACCCACUGAGCCCCGGGGCUGGAAAAGGGGGCCUCCCCCGCCGCCCCCUGCUCCCCACAGUAUGUGCGGGCUGGUCCCCAUGGAAAGAGCCCCAUGGCUCCCCAUGGAAAGGACGUUGGUCAAAACCAAAAUCAACCCAGGCCCUUGACCUCCACGGGCCCGCCCCCAAAUCCCCGGGGCACCUAAAAGCCCCAGGGGAUGACAGUGAAACGCAGGAUUUAAGACCAUGGAUUUUGAGAUCGAAUAGACCCAAACCUGAGUCCUAACUGCACUCUUCGUUUAUGGUGUGACCUUAGG